UACGUAGGAGGCAAGCGUUGUCCGGAAUCACUGGGCGUAAAGAGCGUGUAGGCGGCCAGAUAGGUCAGCUGUGAAAACUCGAGGCUCAACCUCGAGACGUCGGUUGAAACCAUCUGGCUAGAGUCCGGAAGAGGAGUGUGGAAUUCCCGGUGUAGCGGUGAAAUGCGCAGAUAUCGGGAAGAACACCCGUGGCGAAGGCGGCACUCUGGGACGGUACUGACGCUGAGACGCGAAAGCGUGGGGAGCGAACAGG
rnacentral:rRNA from 1 species